AUUGAACGCUGGCGGCAUGCCUUACACAUGCAAGUCGAACGGCAGCACGGGAGCAAUCCUGGUGGCGAGUGGCGAACGGGUGAGUAAUAUAUCGGAACGUGCCCAGUCGUGGGGAUAACGUAGCGAAAGCUACGCUAAUACCGCAUACGAUCUAUGGAUGAAAGCGGGGGAUCGCAAGACCUCGCGCGAUUGGAGCGGCCGAUAUCAGAUUAGGUAGUUGGUGAGGUAAAGGCUCACCAAGCCGACGAUCUGUAGCUGGUCUGAGAGGACGACCAGCCACACUGGGACUGAGACACGGCCCAGACUCCUACGGGAGGCAGCAGUGGGGAAUUUUGGACAAUGGGCGCAAGCCUGAUCCAGCAAUGCNCGUGCAGGAUGAA
rnacentral:rRNA from 1 species